rnacentral:misc_RNA from 1 species
GGAAGGCAAACUUUCAUCACUUCUAUGGGAGAAAAGGGAGGACGGAAAAAGGGAAAAAUCACAGAUGUCUAUCCUUUAGCUUCUAAUGGAAAGAAAGGAUCUUUAUUAAGGAGCAGGCUCCCUAAAUAAACUGCCUCUCAGAAAGGAAAACUAAGUUUGUAAUCAUAAAUUAAACCCACAUAAAUAGUAGAGUCAAAUUACAGAAGACACCUAACAUUCUAAAGAAUUUAUGUAUGCAUUGGAUUAGCC